CGGAGGUGGCAAGCGUUGUUCGGAAUUACUGGGCGUAAAGGGCGCGUAGGCGGCUAGGCAAGUCAGGUGUGAAAGCCCCGGGCUUAACCCGGGAAUUGCAUCUGAAACUGCUGUGCUUGAGUUCUGGAGGGGGUAGUGGAAUUCCCAGUGUAGCGGUGAAAUGCGUAGAUAUUGGGAGGAACACCUGCGGCGAAGGCGGCUACCUGGACAGAAACUGACGCUGAGGCGCGAAAGCUAGGGGAGCGAACGGGAUUAGAUACCCCGGUAGUCCUAGCUGUAAACGGUGGGCACUUGGUGUUGGGGGUAUUGAGUCCCCCAGUGCCGGAGUUAACACGUUAAGUGCCCCGCCUGGGGAGUACGGUCGCAAGACUG
rnacentral:rRNA from 1 species